rnacentral:rRNA from 1 species
UACAGAGGGUGCAAGCGUUAAUCGGAAUUACUGGGCGUAAAGCGUGCGUAGACGGUUAUGUAAGUCGGGUGUGAAAGCCCCGGGCUCAACCUGGGAAUUGCAUUCGAGACUGUGUAGCUAGGGUACGGAAGAGGGAAGCGGAAUUUCAGGUGUAGCGGUGAAAUGCGUAGAUAUCUGAAGGAACACCAGUGGCGAAGGCGACUCUUUGGUCUGUAACUGACGCUGAGGCGCGAAAGCGUGGGGAGCAAACAGG